AGGGCGAACGCUGGCGGCAGGCCUAACACAUGCAAGUCGAACGGACCCUUCGGGGUUAGUGGCGGACGGGUGAGUAACACGUGGGAACGUGCCUUUUGGUUCGGAAUAGCUCCUGGAAACGGGUGGUAAUGCCGAAUGUGCCCUUCGGGGGAAAGAUUUAUCGCCAUUAGAGCGGCCCGCGUCUGAUUAGCUAGUUGGUGAGGUAAAGGCUCACCAAGGCUACGAUCAGUAGCUGGUCUGAGAGGAUGACCAGCCACAUUGGGACUGAGACACGGCCCAAACUCCUACGGGAGGCAGCAGUGGGGAAUCUUGCGCAAUGGCGAAAGCCUGACGCAGCCAUGCCGCGUGAAUGGUGAAGGUCUUAGGAUUGUAAAAAUUCUUUCACCGGGACGAUAAUGACGGUACCCGGAGAAGAAGCCCGGCUAACUCGUGCCAGCAGCCGC
rnacentral:rRNA from 1 species